rnacentral:tRNA from 1 species
UACUCAGUAGCAUAGUGGUUAAUGCGCAGACCCGGUUACUCGCAAUACGCGGGUUCGAAUCCCGCCUGAGAUG